rnacentral:rRNA from 1 species
UACGUAGGGGGGCAAGCGUUGUCCGGAAUCAUUGGGCGUAAAGAGCGUGUAGGCGGCCCGGUAAGUCCGCUGUGAAAGUCGGGGGCUCAACCCUCGAAUGCCGGUGGAUACUGUCGGGCUAGAGUGCGGAAGAGGCGAGUGGAAUUCCUGGUGUAGCGGUGAAAUGCGCAGAUAUCAGGAGGAACACCAAUUGCGAAGGCAGCUCGCUGGGACGUAACUGACGCUGGAGACGCGAAAGCGUGGGGAGCAAACAGG